AGUAGCGGCGGCUCAGUUGCUGCCAUGGAGUCAGCCGGGCUAGAGCAGCUCCUACGGGAGCUGCUGCUACCGGACACCGAGCGCAUCCGUCGGGCCACGGAACAGCUCCAGAUCGUUCUUCGGGCCCCCGCCGCUUUGCCGGCUCUCUGCGACCUGCUAGCCUCGGCGGCCGACCCCCAGGUGAGACCCCUGACUCUCCCCUCCGAGCUUCCCACUGUACGCCACCGGUCAAGCCCCAGUAUUCGCCCACUGCGGUCCGCUCAGCACCUUCCUGCCCGGACCCCCACGUGCUUGCUUCCUCGUCCUAGAUCCGCCAGUUUGCGGCCGUGCUGACCCGCAGACGACUGAACACCCGCUGGCGACGGCUGGCGGCGGAGCAACGGGAGAGGUGGGCUGGGCCUGGGGUGGGGCGGGGCCAGGCGGAGACUUUUCUUGGGCAGGCUGGGUACCAAACACCUGCCACCUGUGUUCCAGCCUCAAGUCCCUGAUCCUGACGGCCCUGCAGAGAGAAACAGAGUAAGUACCUACCCACUUCUCUCGGGAUCUUGACGACUUUGUCUAGGUUUCUGCCUU
rnacentral:lncRNA from 1 species